rnacentral:rRNA from 1 species
UGAAUACGAGAUGCUACGGCGUCGAAGCAGUCUAUGUCAUACUUCCAAGAAAAGCUCGCACUGUCAUAAACAAAUAAUGCCUGUACCAUAACCGACACAGGUGGGUUGGUAGAGUAUACUAAGGGGCGCGAGAUAACUCUCUCUAAGGAACUCGGCAAAAUGACUCCGUAACUUCGGGAGAAGGAGUGCCUUAUUUAUAAGGUUGCAAUAACAAGAUCCAAGCAACUGUUUAUCAAAAACACAGGUCUCCGCUAAGUCGUAAGACGAUGUAUGGGGGCUGACGCCUGCCCAGUGCCAGAAGGUUAAAGAAGUUGGUUAGCAUUCGCGAAGCUGAUAACUGAAGCCCUGGUGAACGGCGGCCGUAACAAUAACGGUCCUAAGGUAGCGAAAUUCCUUGUCGGGUAAGUUCCGACCCGCACGAAAGGCGUAAUGAUUUGGAUACUGUCUCGGAGAGGGGCUCGGUGAAAUAGACUUGUCUGUGAAGAUGCGGACUACCUGCACCAGGACAGAAAGACCCUAUGAAGCUUUACUGUAACUUGAGAUUGAAAUUGGACUUUACUUGCGCAGUAUAGGUGGGAGGCGUUGAUAAUAUUCUUGCGGGAUUAUUUGAGCCAUCAGUGAGAUACCACUCUUGUAAUGUUGGAUUUCUAACUUUGUAUCAUUAUCUGGUCAAAGGACAGUUUCAGGCGGGCAGUUUGACUGGGGCGGUCGCCUCCUAAACGGUAACGGAGGCGCACAAAGGUUUCCUCUGAACGGGUAGAAAUCGUAUCUAGAGUGUAAAGGCAUAAGGAAGCUUGACUGUGAGACCUACAAGUCGAGCAGGGACGAAAGUCGGUCUUAGUGAUCUGACGGUGCUGAGUGGAAAGGCCGUCACUCAACGGAUAAAAGUUACUCUAGGGAUAACAGGCUGAUCUCCCCCAAGAGUUCACAUCGACGGGGAGGUUUGGCACCUCGAUGUCGGCUCAUCGCAUCCUGGGGCGGUAGUACGUCCCAAGGGUUGGGCUGUUCGCCCAUGAAAGCGGUACGCGAGCUGGGUUCAGAACAUCGUGAGGCAGUUCGGUCCAUAUCCGGUGUAGGCGUUAGAAUAUUGAGAGGAGCCUUCUUUAGUACGAGAGGACCGAGAAGGACAUACCUCUGGUGUACCAGUUAUCGUGCCAACGGUAAACGCUGGGUAGCUAUGUAUGGAGUGGAUAACCGCUGAAAGCAUCUAAGUGGGAAGCCCACCUCAAGAUAAG